GAGAAAACUGUGCAUCUUAUAUACUGCAUGACUUUAUCAGAUGACAAUCCCAAUACUAAAAUAAGGCUUACGCAUAGUUAUAUACUUUAAUUCAGUCACAGACCCAAGAUAUCACGGGUGUGUUCUAGUGUGUACUAAGUUUCAAAUUGACUGGACUUCAACUUCAUCAAAAACUACCUCGACCAAAAACUUUAACCUGAAUGGAACAGAGAGAUGAAUGGACGGACGGACGAACGGACGCACAGACCAGAAAACAUAAUGCCCAUAAAUGGGGCCUAAAAAGUGAAUUUUGGAAAUUGCUGGCAAGAC
rnacentral:lncRNA from 1 species